UACGAAGGGGGCUAGCGUUGCUCGGAAUCACUGGGCGUAAAGCGCACGUAGGCGGCUUUUUAAGUCAGGGGUGAAAUCCUGGAGCUCAACUCCAGAACUGCCUUUGAUACUGAGAAGCUUGAGUCCGGGAGAGGUGAGUGGAACUGCGAGUGUAGAGGUGAAAUUCGUAGAUAUUCGCAAGAACACCAGUGGCGAAGGCGGCUCUCUGGACCGUAACUGACGCUGAGGCGCGAAAGCGUGGGGAGCAAACAGG
rnacentral:rRNA from 1 species